GAUCCUGGCUCAGGAUGAACGCUAGCUACAGGCUUAACACAUGCAAGUCGAGGGGAAACGAUAGAGAAAGCUUGCUUUUUCUAGGCGUCGACCGGCGCACGGGUGAGUAACGCGUAUCCAACCUGCCCAUCACUUGGGGAUAACCUUGCGAAAGUAAGACUAAUACCCAAUGACGUCUCUAGAAGACAUCUGAAAGAGAUUAAAGAUUUAUCGGUGAUGGAUGGGGAUGCGUCUGAUUAGCUUGUUGGCGGGUAACGGCCCACCAAGGCGACGAUCAGUAGGGGUUCUGAGAGGAAGGUCCCCCACAUUGGAACUGAGACACGGUCCAAACUCCUACGGGAGGCAGCAGUGAGGAAUAUUGGUCAAUGGACGAGAGUCUGAACCAGCCAAGUAGCGUGCAGGAUGACGGCCCUAUGGGUUGUAAACUGCUUUAUAAGGGAAUAAAGUGAGUCUCGUGAGACUUUUGCAUGUACCUUAUGAAUAAGGACCGGCUAAUUCCGUG
rnacentral:rRNA from 1 species